rnacentral:tRNA from 1 species
UCUGAUCAGGGAKAUUACUCCCCUUACUA